CCCCCGCCUCUGACUUCAUCACCCCGCAAAAUCCAGCCGUCGCACCCUCUCGCGACGCCCGCGAUUCCAUGGCUGUCACGUCUCCAUCCUCGCCCCGCAUGCCCUGGUCGUCGGCGUCGCCCAGGCGAUUUCGUGCCCCCACACAUUUCCCUCCAUCGCAAUGUUGCCCGUUGUGCCCCUGUCCAUGGCACCCCGACCCUCACCUCACCCUCUUCCUCCCCACACCCCCGCGUUCCCCCACUCCUGCCGCGCUCGCCACCCCGCCUUCCCCAUGAAUCCUGUUUUUGCGCCACGGGUAAGUCCCCGUCAUUUUCUUCAUCACCGGAGCCAGAGUCGGGGCGCAAAGACGGCGACGCGUCCUUGUCGCUGCAUUGCGCUGCUCGUCCUAGCGGCACAUUAUGGCAUGGAAGACGGCAAGGAAGUUGCGGUACUUGAAGGGCUGCUCGAGCAUGCAGAUUUGCUUUCCCCUGGCGGUCGUGGGGUCCUCCACCGGCGACGAGGGCAAGUGGAAGUGGGGCUCCAGCGGCUGGAAGGCAGAGGGGAGGAGCAGGUCGACGCGACGCGUGCAUAGCUGCUCAGCCACCGCGUGCCCCCCUCCGCUAAGACAACCGCAGUCUCCCCCUCGCCCACAGAUCGCCGUGGCUGCGCCUACCAACCCACACCGCUCCUCCCCUCCCCGUCCCUUUCACCACCAAGGUCGCAUCGAGUCCACCGUUGGUGUCGGUUCCUUCCUCGCAAUUCCAUCAGCAAAAGCAGACUGUACUACCAACUAGAGAAGAGGCUUAGAUCCACUGCACACUGAACCCUAUGCCAGGGGAAGCUCUCACGUCGCGCCCGCCCAUGGACCGCCUCGUCGACGACCUUGCCGCGGCAACCCUCUCCGAUCUAGCGGACCAGGGCACCGCCACCAUCGGUUUGCUUAACACUGAUUCCUCCUCAGCAUCAUGUGCACCGUAGCGUAGAGGGUACCAACGCCAUCAUCCACAACCAGGUAACGUGUUCAAUCCCCCGUUUCCCAUCGCUUCGCUUCUAACCCAGACCAGUUUCGGUUCGUUUAUUGUCCCACCAGCCAAAUGGUAAUGAUUUUUUGGUGUAAUAUAAUAUAAUAAAAAACAUAAAUACUAGCUUAGUUUGAUUUUUCGA